GGGGAUAAGCGGAAGAAAUUCCGUCUAAUACCGCGUAAUAACUCCGAGAGGCAUCUCCUGGGGUUUAAAGGGUAACACCGGCUACGGAUGGCCAUGCGGCGCAUUAGCUAGUUGGCGGGGUAACGGCCCACCAAGGCGACGAUGCGUAGGGGUUCUGAGAGGAAGGUCCCCCACACUGGUACUGAGACACGGACCAGACUCCUACGGGAGGCAGCAGUGAGGAAUAUUGGUCAAUGGGCGCGAGCCUGAACCAGCCAAGUCGCGUGAGGGAAGACGGUCCUAUGGAUUGUAAACCUCUUUUGUCGGGGAGCAAAAGACGCCACGCGUGGCGUUCCGAGAGUACCCGAAGAAAAAGCAUCGGCUAACUCCGUGCCAGCAGCCGCGGUAAUACGGAGGAUGCGAGCGUUAUCCGGAUUUAUUGGGUUUAAAGGGUGCGCAGGCGGAAGAUCAAGCCAGCGGUAAAAUUGAGAGGCUCAACCUCUUCGAGCCGUUGAAACUGGUUUUCUUGAGUGAGCGAGAAGUAUGCGGAAUGCGUGGUGUAGCGGUGAAAUGCAUAGAUAUCACGCAGAACUCCGAUUGCGAAGGCAGCAUACCGGCGCUCAACUGACGCUCAUGCACGAAAGUGUGGGUAUCGAACAGGAUUAGAUACCCUGGUAGUCCACACAGUAAACGAUGAA
rnacentral:rRNA from 1 species